AGCAUGAUUAGAAUUCAAGGAUCUGAGCGUUAAGUGCUUCAUAUUUCAUUUUGCAUACUCACGUUAAAAAGUGAACUAAUCAAAGGCUCAGAAGUGAAUUCAGUAGCCCAUGCACCAGCCUGAAAUCAUUAGUUAAUACAGAUGACAAGAAGUAUUAGAAUAACAUUUUCCAGUUUGUCCUGUUUCACGUGGCUCAGUGGUAGAAGCUUUGUAUAAAUGAAAUUAAGGACAGAAGUCACUUGGUGUUCAGGCUGGGGACAUUUCAAGGUAAAUCCUUAACUACAGAGGAGGGGGAGGGCAAGAAAAAGAAGCAACCAACGAUAUCCAGAAAUAGAGUUGUACAUUUUCUGUUUUAACAAGUAAAUUUAAAACGCCAACUUGAUCCAAGUUAAACAAAAAACGAACUUUGUAUAAGUAAAUAGAAGGCAAACCACUUUUAAACAAAACAAAAAGUCUUACAAAAUCAAAUCCAGUACAUCAUCUUUUUGCAACAUAAAACUUCCUAUCACGCUGGGAAUAAACAGGUUUGUAGACGGUGAGUGGUUCUAGAACCAUGAAGGAAGAUAGCAAGCAUCCAGGGGAAGGUCAUCAUUGUUCUCCAGUCCAUCGUUUGUGUCCCAUGCUCUCUUACUGAGAUUUCUAGGUCAUUCUGGAGUCACUAGAAUCACUCAUUGAUAUGCUUUGCCCACAGGGCCUCACUAAUCCCCGAACUUCACCCCUUUAUCUCACUGGAUGUAUAUUUAUGAAGCACCUUCUAUGUGUUAGCAAGAUUGAAGGUGUAAAGAUGAACAAGAACUAGAAACCCAGCUUGCUAGGAAGCUACAUCGAAAACUGACUGAGAGAGUGAUUACAAUAUAACAAGUACCAUAAGAGAGGUGUGUGAAAAACGUGAUGAAUGCACAGAAAACCAAAUGCUUACAGCUGCUUGAGAAGGAGUAGAAACGUAAGACUGGAUAGGCCAUAAGAGGUUUCCAAGAGGGGAAAAUAUUUUAUCCUGCUUAAAUUGGAAGAGUAAAAUAUUCUGAAGAUCAAGAGGUGGGGAAAAGACUUUCUAGGAAGUGGGAAUUAUGCAUAUAAAAGCGUUUGCAUUCAUGAAUUUGAAUGCCCAAUGAAUAAGUCCAAAAAUAUACAACGUGUUUAUGAAAAUAAGGAGAAAGGCACUUCAGCCGUGACGGUUGAAAAAGAAUUCAUGGAGGCAGCGAGGCUUUCCCGCGAACACCAAAAUGGUCUGAUCUGAGGGGCAAGGUGCUCCCAGAAGGAAGAACCUGCACAAACAGAUGCAUGGCACUGGAUCUUAUAUGCCUCAUGCAACACAUGAAUCUACUGGGUUAACUCAGCCAUGAGAAGGCAGCAGUAAAAUAGAGACCAAGGUGCCUGAGAAAAUACUGUAUGCAUGCUAGAGGUCAUGUAAGCCUACUUUUUUAAAAAAAUCAAGGGGCUGAAACAAUCACAUUAAAUAAUUAUUUUAGGUCAGGCACCAUUUAGUGAUUCUUUAUAGAAAACACAGACAGGUGAAUUAGGAACAUACCUGCAAGAGAGCACAGGAUUAAUUAGUCCUGCAGACAAGAAGGCUAUUGUAGAAGGCUGUUAGAAAGCAGUAAAAUUACCAUAUUCCAGGUGUGAAGAGAUGAAGAGCUCAGCGAGGUUGGUUCCAGUGGGAAUAAAAAUAAAGCACAGGUCUUAAAGGCA